AUACGUAGGGGGCGAGCGUUGUCCGGAAUGAUUGGGCGUAAAGGGCGCGUAGGCGGCCCGGUAAGUCUGGAGUGAAAGUCCUGUUUUUAAGAUGGGAAUUGCUUUGGAUACUGUCGGGCUUGAGUGCAGGAGAGGUAAGUGGAAUUCCCAGGGUAGCGGUGAAAUGCGUAGAGAUUGGGAGGAACACCAGUGGCGAAGGCGACUUACUGGACUGUAACUGACGCUGAGGCGCGAAAGAGUGGGGAGCAAACAGGAUUAGAUACCCUGGUAGUCCACACUGUAAACGAUGAAUGCUAGGUGUAGGGGGUAGCGACCCCUUCUGUGCCGCAGUCAACACAAUAAGCAUUCCGCCUGGGGAGUACGGCCGCAAGGUUGAAACUUAAAGGAAUUGACGGGG
rnacentral:rRNA from 1 species